rnacentral:rRNA from 1 species
UGCAUAUCCAAAAAGCGGAGGAAAGGAAACCAACUGGGAUUACCUUAGUAACGGCGAGUGAAGCGGUAAAAGCUCAAAUUUGAAAUCUGGUACUUUCAGUGCCCGAGUUGUAAUUUGUAGAAUUUGUCUUUGAUUAGGUCCUUGUCUAUGUUCCUUGGAACAGGACGUCAUAGAGGGUGAGAAUCCCGUUUGGCGAGGAUACCUUUUCUCUGUAAGACUUUUUCGAAGAGUCGAGUUGUUUGGGAAUGCAGCUCAAAGUGGGUGGUAAAUUCCAUCUAAAGCUAAAUAUUGGCGAGAGACCGAUAGCGAACAAGUACAGUGAUGGAAAGAUGAAAAGAACUUUGAAAAGAGAGUGAAAAAGUACGUGAAAUUGUUGAAAGGGAAGGGCAUUUGAUCAGACAUGGUGUUUUUUGCAUGCACUCGCCUCUCGUGGGCUUGGGCCUCUCAAAAAUUUCACUGGGCCAACAUCAAUUCUGGCAGUAGGAUAAAUCAUUAAGAAUGUAGCUACCUCGGUAGUGUUAUAGCUUAUUGGAAUACUGCUAGCUGGGAUUGAGGACUGCGCUUCGGCAAGGAUGUUGGCAUAAUGGUUAAAUGCCGCCCGUCUUGAACCACGGGACC